GCAAGUCGAACGGUAGCACAGAGAGCUUGCUCUCGGGUGACGAGUGGCGGACGGGUGAGUAAUGUCUGGGAAACUGCCUGAUGGAGGGGGAUAACUACUGGAAACGGUAGCUAAUACCGCAUAACGUCGCAAGACCAAAGAGGGGGACCUUCGGGCCUCUUGCCAUCAGAUGUGCCCAGAUGGGAUUAGCUAGUAGGUGGGGUAACGGCUCACCUAGGCGACGAUCCCUAGCUGGUCUGAGAGGAUGACCAGCCACACUGGAACUGAGACACGGUCCAGACUCCUACGGGAGGCAGCAGUGGGGAAUAUUGCACAAUGGGCGCAAGCCUGAUGCAGCCAUGCCGCGUGUAUGAAGAAGGCCUUCGGGUUGUAAAGUACUUUCAGCGGGGAGGAAGGUGUUGUGGUUAAUAACCGCAGCAAUUGACGUUACCCGCAGAAGAAGCACCGGCUAACUCCGUGCCAGCAGCCGCGGUAAUACGGAGGGUGCAAGCGUUAAUCGGAAUUACUGGGCGUAAAGCGCACGCAGGCGGUCUGUCAAGUCGGAUGUGAAAUCCCCGGGCUCAACCUGGGAACUGCAUUCGAAACUGUCAGGCUGUAGUCUUGUACAGGGUAGAAUUCCAGGUGUAGCGGUGAAAUGCUACAAUCUGGA
rnacentral:rRNA from 1 species